AUGGCCAGGAUCACCACCCUCGAAGCGGUGAAGUGCAAAAGCCAGGUUCUGCAACAGCAGGCCAAUGAUGCAGAGUGGGCCAAGCGCCUUCAGCAGGUAGCGGAGGGAGAAAGGCGGGCCCAGGAACAGGCUGAGCCUGAGGUGGCCUCCUUGAACCGUAGGAUCCAGCUGGUUGAAGAGGAGCUGGACCGCGCUCAGGAGCACCUGGCCACUGCCCUGCAAAAGCUGGAGGAAGCAGAAAAUGCUGCCGAUGAGAGUGAGAGAGGUAAGAAGCUUAUGGAAAACUGGGCCUUAAAAGAUGAAGAAAACAUGGAACUCCAGGAAAUCCAACUCAAAGAAACUAAGCACAUUGCAGAAGAGGCAGAUAGGAAGUGUGAAGAGGUUACUGUAAGUUGGUGAUUAUUGAAGGAGACUUGAAAUGCACAGAGGAGGAGCUGAGCUGGCAGAGUCCCGUUGCCGAGAGAUGGAUGAGCGGAUCAGACUGAUGGACCAGAACCUGAAGUGUCUGAGUGCUGCUGAAGAGAAGUACUCUCAAAAAGAAGACAAAUAUGAGGAAGAGAUAAAGAUUCUUACUGAUAAACUCAAGGAGGCAGAGACCCGUCCUGAGCUUGCUGAGAGAUCUGUAGCCAAGCUGAAGAAGACAAUUGAUAAUUUGGAAGAUAAACUGAAAUGCACCAAAGAGGAGCACCUCUGUACACAAAGGAUGCUGGACCAGACUCUGCUUGACCCAAACGAGAUGCAGAGCACCCCAGUCCCACCCUGCCACUGCUUCUCCCUCUGA